AAAUGUGGAUAAUCAUCAUUGGUUAAAAACUAUGACGUUUGGGUGACGUCUUGCUACGUAGAAUACAGUCGAUGAAGUAAUAAUGACAUAACCUAUGUUUUUAACGAGAGCUCAGUGUGAACAGGAAUUUGAGAGAGUUAUGAAGUCGAGAGACAGUUUUUUUCAGGUAACUGGAGUACGAGGCAGUGAAAGCAGCCGAAAGUCAACCGUUGUUUUCAUUUUCAAGAAAAAGGUAACACAGAGGAAGUGGCAAAGAGCAGGAGCCUUAGAAGAUCCAACAUUAAAAGGUUGCAGGGGAUACUCAAGGCAGCAUGGCAAAUAUGAGGAUGUGCGGGGUCAUGGUGACCUCCGGGAUGGUUUUGGGCACAAUCGCCGCCGCCGCUGUCUGCUUGCUGGGCUCACUGGUUCUAUUCUCCCUGUUCGCCUCUUCCACGUGCUACGACGACUACGACUGGCACGACUACAGCUGUAGCAGAUACACGACAAAUCUCUUCAUAAGUGGGCUCUUUUUGAUGGUGAUCGGAGCGACGGUUGGGGUCGGCGGAAGCAUGAUGUUCUUCCAGCUGAAGAGGAACUCGAAGGAAGCCCUGACUUCGGGAGGACUGGGUCACUUCACCGUCCUCACUUCUCAUCCGGACGAAACGAUGGCGCAAGAGAAGACGCCGUCCUUCUAUUCUUAGGACAAUCGAAUGUUCCGUAGGUUAAACGUGAGGAAAAAGAAAACGCUUAUGUUUCUGUGCGAAAUAAAACACAACCGCGUCAACUUGAUUUUCAAGAAACGCUCAAAAUGAGAACCUAUUUUUAUUAAGCAUGAAAGGAGUGUUUUGUAUACAUAAUUAUUUGCGAAAUAAUGAACGAGAAAGACUCUUUUUCAAUAGGUAUUGCUUGUUCUUUUUGAAGACUGACUUUUGCUUCAUAAUUUAUAAGAAUGAUAUACUAGAAAAAAAAUGUGAUUUCUCUCGUAAGACUUUGUUGCUAAUGAAUGACGUAUAAGAAAUAUAUUUUGUUAACAUUGAAAAA